rnacentral:tRNA from 1 species
CGAGGUGCGGGAUGGGAGUCCAGGUGUUCGUGGCGCGUGGCGUGGGGACGAGCUGGACUUGUUUGCGUUCGACGCGCUGCGCUCCGC